rnacentral:misc_RNA from 1 species
GAUGAAGAACGCAGCGAAAUGCGAUAAGUAAUGUGAAUUGCAGAAUUCAGUGAAUCAUCGAAUCUUUGAACGCACAUUGCGCCCCUUGGUAUUCCGAGGGGCAUGCCUGUUCGAGCGUCAUUAUAACCCCUCAAGCUCAGCUUGGUGUUGGGGCCUGCUGCACUGGCAGCCCUUAAAAUCAGUGGCGGCGCCAUCUGGCUCUAAGCGUAGUAAUUCUUCUCGCUAUGGAGUCCUGGUGGAUGCUUCCCAUCAACCCCCAAUUUUUCUAUGGUUGACCUCGGAUCAGGUAGGGAUACCCGCUGAACUUAAGCAUAUCAAUAAGCGGAGGA